rnacentral:tRNA from 1 species
CGGGAACUGGCCUAAUGGUAAGGCGUCUGGUUUGGGACCAGAAGAUUGGCGGUUCGAGUCCGCCGUUCCCGA